rnacentral:rRNA from 1 species
CAGCCGCCGCGGUAAUACGGAGGGUGCAAGCGUUACUCGGAAUUACUGGGCGUAAAGCGUGCGUAGGUGGUGGUUUAAGUCCGUUGUGAAAGCCCUGGGCUCAACCUGGGAAUUGCAGUGGAUACUGGGUCACUAGAGUGUGGUAGAGGAUAGUGGAAUUUCCGGUGUAGCAGUGAAAUGCGUAGAGAUCGGAAGGAACAUCUGUGGCGAAGGCGACUAUCUGGGCCAACACUGACACUGAGGCACGAAAGCGUGGGGAGCAAACAGGAUUAGAUACCCCAGUAGUCCCUGUCUCUUAUAC